rnacentral:rRNA from 1 species
UACGUAGGGACCAAGCGUUGUUCGGAUUUACUGGGCGUAAAGGGCGCGUAGGCGGCGCAAUAAGUCACUUGUGAAAUCUCCGGGCUUAACUCGGAGCGGCCAAGUGAUACUGUUGUGCUAGAGUGCAGAAAGGGCAAUCGGAAUUCUCGGUGUAGCGGUGAAAUGCGUAGAUAUCGAGAGGAACACCUGAGGCGAAGGCGGGUUGCUAGGCUGACACUGACGCUGAGGCGCGAAAGCUAGGGUAGCAAACGGG